AAGUCCCUUGCACAGCACUUCCCAAACAUCCAGUAAUUGUUGGGUGCUUGGGAAGUGCUGUGCAGGGGCUUU